rnacentral:rRNA from 1 species
AUGCAUGUCUAAGUACAAGCCCAAUUAAGGUGAAACCGCGAAUGGCUCAUUAAAUCAGCUAUGAUUCAUUGGAUCUGUACCCACUCUUACUUGGAUAACUGUGGUAAUUCUAGAGCUAAUACAUGCUACACGUCUCUGACCGCAAGGGAAGAGCGCUUUUAUUAGUUCAAAACCGGUCGGGCCUCGGUCCGUCACCCCACCGUGUUGAAUCUGAAUAACUUGUCGCUGAGCGCACGGUCUUUGCACCGGCGCCGCCUCUUUCAAGUGUCUGCCUUAUCAGCUUUCGAUUGUAGGUUAUACGCCUACAAUGGCUAUAACGGGUAACGGGGAAUCAGGGUUCGAUUCCGGAGAGGGAGCCUGAGAAACGGCUACCACAUCUAAGGAAGGCAGCAGGCACGCAAAUUACCCACUCCCGGCACGGGGAGGUAGUGACGAAAAAUAACGAUGCGAGACUCAUCCGAGGCCUCGCAAUCGGAAUGAGUACACUUUAAAUCCUUUAACGAGGAUCUAUUGGAGGGCAAGUCUGGUGCCAGCAGCCGCGGUAAUUCCAGCUCCAAUAGCGUAUAUUAAAGUUGUUGCGGUUAAAAAGCUCGUAGUUGGAUUUCAGUUCUGGACUGACGGUUCACCGCCCGGUGAUCACUGUCACGCUCCGAACAUGUUAACCGCCCGCUGGCUCGCACGGGGUGCUCUUUACCGAGUGUCCCGCGUGGCCGGCAGAGUUUACUUUGAAAAAAUUAGAGUGCUCAAAGCAGGCUACACGAACGGCCUGAAUGCCUAUGCA